CACGAUUUUUCAAUUAAUUUUGACUUCUUUCUUUUUUUUAUUUUUUAAAGAGAAUGACAUUGAGUGAAUUAAGGGAUAUAAUAUAAUUAUCUAUGGAAAAAGUUCACUCUAAUUCCGUAUAUAUUUAUAUAUAUCAAAAUCUUUAUCUUAUGUACUAACUAAACUAAACUCUAAAUAUAAAUAAAAAUUAAUUAAAGUUCUAAUUCUUCUCCAACUCAAUCAAUUAUCUCCUCACAAUUAAUUAAAGCCAUCCUUGCGCACCAUCGCAUACAACCUCGCCGCCGCUGUGAGCCUCCGGUCCGCCGCGCUUCACCGUUGCUCUUAGUCUUUUUUCCGGUCGCCGCCUCCCCUCUUCGAAGGCCGGUUGAGGUCACCCGACAAGUUAAACACUUCGAAGAGAACCAUUCCGUUCGAUUUCUCGCUUAAUUAGUCGGGCAGAGAAGCUUGAAGGUGAUCUGUCAAGGUCGCCGCCGUCGACUGGAAUUUCAUAAUUUCCUCCGCACAUGGGAUUUUAAAAUUUAUAUACACUAACUAUGAACAUGGAAGUUACAUUGCGCAAAACAAGCUCAUCUUUAGAUCAAGUUGCAGCUAUAUGGGUUGAGGGAAAUAAUGAAAAUAUUCCAUUGGAGCGGGAUAUUGUAGUUCAUGCUCAUUCCGGCGACAGACAUAGAAUAAAGCAUUAUUAUGGAUGUUAUGAUCCAUUGCAAUAUCCACUUCUUUUUCCAAUGGGCGAAACAGGUUGACAUCAAAACAUUAGAAAGAUUGA